UUCUUCUUUAUGAACUUGACUAAAAUUGGAGCGAUACAGAGAAGAUUAGCAUCGCCCCUGCGCAAGGAUGACACGCAAAAUCGUGAAGCGUUCCACAUUUUU
rnacentral:snRNA from 1 species